GAUGAACGCUGGCGGCGUGCUUAACACAUGCAAGUCGAACGGAAAGGCCAUGCUUUUGUGGGGUGCUCGAGUGGCGAACGCGUGAGUAACACGUGAGUAACAUGCCCUUGACUUUGGGAUAACAUCAGGAAACUGGGGCUAAUACAGGAUAGGAGAUCCUGAUGCGUGGGGGGGGAUGGAAAGUUUCGGCGGUUGGGGAUGGACUCGCGGCUUAUCAGCUUGUUGGUGGGGUAGUGGAUGACCAAGGCUUUGACGGAUAGGCGGCCUGAGAGCGUGGCCGGCCACCAUGGUCCUGCGAGACGCCGCAGUCGCCUAUGGUAGGCAGCAGGCGGGAGUAUUACAGAGUGGGCGCGCGCCUGAUACGGCGGCGCCGCGUUCGUAAUGACGUCUUUCUGGUUGUGAACCGCUGUCGCCUGAGACGAAGCGUUAGUGACGGUAACUGGUAAAGAAGCACCGGCUAACUACGUG
rnacentral:rRNA from 1 species